UAGGGAAUCUUCGGCAAUGGACGAAAGUCUGACCGAGCAACGCAGCGUGAGUGAAGAAGGUUUUCGGAACGUAAAACUCUGUUGUUAGAGAAGAACAAGGACGUUAGUAACUGAACGUCCCCUGACGGUAUCUAACCAGAAAGCCACGGCUAACUACGUGCCAGCAGCCGCGGUAAUACGUAGGUGGCAAGCGUUGUCCGGAUUUAUUGGGCGUAAAGCGAGCGCAGGCGGGUUCUUAAGUCUGAUGUGAAAGCCCCCGGCUCAACCGGGGAGGGUCAUUGGAAACUGUGAUACUUGAGUGCAGAAGAGGAGAGUGGAAUUCCAUGUGUAGCGGUGAAAUGCGUAGAUAUAUGUAGGAACACCAGUGGCGAAGGCGGCUCUCUGGUCUGUAACUGACGCUGAGGCUCGAAAGCGUGGGGAGCAAACAGG
rnacentral:rRNA from 1 species